CGGAAAGGGUGGGAAGACAUUGUUUGAUGGAGUAGGGAGCUCCCACGUCAUUCUUAGUAAGUCAGCAAUUUCUUUGAAGAAGGAGGACAAAUAAGAAGGAACAGAGAACAAGGCAAGGAAGGUAUAAUAGAAUCAUAAAAGUUUCCACCUUCAUUUAUGUCAUCUCAACGCUCCUGAGGAAGUGCCUCAAGAAUGAUGAUGCCAUCCAAGACUUCAAGGCAAUUUUAUCGCCUGCAGAAGGAAAUUGGUGAUGAGCAUGCCUGAGC
rnacentral:lncRNA from 1 species